UGGGGAAUUUUGGACAAUGGGGGCAACCCUGAUCCAGCCAUGCCGCGUGAGUGAAGAAGGCCUUCGGGUUGUAAAGCUCUUUCGGCCGGGAAGAAAUCGCAUGGGCUAAUACCCUGUGCGGAUGACGGUACCGGCAUAAGAAGCACCGGCUAACUACGUGCCAGCAGCCGCGGUAAUACGUAGGGUGCGAGCGUUAAUCGGAAUUACUGGGCGUAAAGCGUGCGCAGGCGGUUUUGUAAGACAGGCGUGAAAUCCCCGGGCUCAACCUGGGAACUGCGUUUGUGACUGCAAGGCUAGAGUACGGCAGAGGGGGGUGGAAUUCCACGUGUAGCAGUGAAAUGCGUAGAGAUGUGGAGGAACACCAAUGGCGAAGGCAGCCCCCUGGGUCGAUACUGACGCUCAUGCACGAAAGCGUGGGUAGCAAACAG
rnacentral:rRNA from 1 species